rnacentral:rRNA from 1 species
CCUACGGGUGGCAGCAGUAGGGAAUCUUCCACAAUGGGCGAAAGCCUGAUGGAGCAACGCCGCGUGGGUGAAGAAGGUCUUCGGAUCGUAAAACUCUGUUGUUAGAGAAGAAAGAGCGUGAGAGUAACUGUUCACGUUUCGACGGUAUCUAACCAGAAAGCCACGGCUAACUACGUGCCAGCAGCCGCGGUAAUACGUAGGUGGCAAGCGUUAUCCGGAUUUAUUGGGCGUAAAGGGAACGCCGGCGGUCUUUUUAGUCUGAUGUGAAAGCCUUCGGCUUAACCGGAGUAGUGCAUUGGAAACUGGGAGACUUGAGAGCAGAAGAGGAGAGUGGAACUCCAUGUGUAGCGGUGAAAUGCGUAGAUAUAUGGAAGAACACCAGUGGCGAAAGCGGCUCUCUGGUCUGUAACUGACGCUGAGGUUCGAAAGCGUGGGUAGCAAACAGGAUUAGAUACCCCGGUAGUC